rnacentral:rRNA from 1 species
AAAAUGACUCUCGGCAACGGAUAUCUCGGCUCUCGCAUCGAUGAAGAACGUAGCGAAAUGCGAUACUUGGUGUGAAUUGCAGAAUCCCGUGAACCAUCGAGUUUUUGAACGCAAGUUGCGCCCCAAGCCUCUAGGCCGAGGGCACGCCUGCCUGGGUGUCACAC